rnacentral:rRNA from 1 species
AUUGAACGCUGGCGGCAGGCCUAACACAUGCAAGUCGAACGAGUGGCGGACGGGUGAGUAAUGUCUGGGAAACUGCCCGAUGGAGGGGGAUAACUACUGGAAACGGUAGCUAAUACCGCAUACCAUCGGAUGUGCCCAGAUGGGAUUAGCUAGUAGGUGGGUUAACGGCUCACCUAGGCGACGAUCCCUAGCUGGUCUGAGAGGAUGACCAGCAACACUGGAACGGAAAAACGGUCCAGCCUCCUAGGGGAGGCAGCGGUGGGGAAAAUUGCACAAGGGGGGCAAGCCGGAUGCAGCCAGGCCGCGGGAAUGAAGAAGGCCUUCGGGUGGUAAGGUACUUUCGGCGAGGAGAGGUUACUCGCAGAAGAAGCAGCGGCUAACUCCGUGCCAGCAGCCGCGGUAAUAC